AUUGAACGCUGGCGGCAGGCCUAACACAUGCAAGUCGAGCGGAUGAAGGGAGCUUGCUCCUGGAUUCAGCGGCGGACGGGUGAGUAAUGCCUAGGAAUCUGCCUGGUAGUGGGGGAUAACGUCCGGAAACGGGCGCUAAUACCGCAUACGUCCUGAGGGAGAAAGUGUGGGAUCUUCGGACCUCACGCUAUCAGAUGAUCCUAGGUCGGAUUAGCUAGUUGGUGGGGUAAAGGCCUACCAAGGCGACGAUCCGUAACUGGUCUGAGAGGAUGAUCAGUCACACUGGAACUGAGACACGGUCCAGACUCCUACGGGAGGCAGCAGUGGGGAAUAUUGGACAAUGGGCGAAAGCCUGAUCCAGCCAUGCCGCGUGUGUGAAGAAGGUCUUCGGAUUGUAAAGCACUUUAAGUUGGGAGGAAGGGCAGUAAGUUAAUACCUUGCUGUUUUGACGUUACCAACAGAAUAAGCAACGGCUAACUUCGUG
rnacentral:rRNA from 1 species